rnacentral:rRNA from 1 species
UGGGGAAUAUUGGACAAUGGGCGAAAGCCUGAUCCAGCCCUGCCGCGUGUGUGAAGAAGGUCUUCGGAUUGUAAAUCACUUUAAGUUGGGAGGAAGGGCAGUAAGCGAAUACCUUGCUGUUUUGACGUUACCGACAGAAUAAGCACCGGCUAACUCUGUGCCAGCAGCCGCGGUAAUACAGAGGGUGCAAGCGUUAAUCGGAAUUACUGGGCGUAAAGCGAGCGUAGGUGGUUCGUUAAGUUGAAUGUGAAAGCCCCGGGCUCAACCUGGGAACUGCAUCCAAAACUGGCGGGCUAGAGUAGGGCAGAGGGGGGUGGAAUUUACUGUGUAGCGGUAAAAUGCGUAGAUAUAGGAAGGAACACCAGUGGCGAAGGAGACCACCUGGGCUCAUACUGACACUGAGGUGCGAAAGAGUGGGGAGCAAACAGG